UUUUUUGCUAAUAUAUCAUCCUUCUCUUCACUCUCCUCAUCUUUGUUAUCAUUUUUAGCAUCAACAUCUUCUGUUCCCUUAACGCAAUCAACCUUCAUAUCCAUACUGCUUGGGGUGGAUUCCUCGUAUACAUGUGGGGCUUCUUCAUGCUUGAGAAUUUCAGUAAUAAUUGCCUCUGUUUCUUCAGCCUGCAAGAUUGCAUUGAUUAGGAAUUUACUCUUUAUGAGUUUUUAAUUAAAAAAAAUCCUGCAAGGGUAACACAUCCAAUGAGUCCUAGAGAGAAAUUUACCUCACAUGCAUCAGUGUCUUCUGUUCUGUUUGUGGUGCCAUUUUUUAUAUCCUCGGGCUCCGCAAAUGGUUCUGUGGUGAAAUCACCCGCCUUGUCAUCAUGUUUCUGUUCAUCUACCUGGAGUUCUUCCUUCUGACUUUGAAUGUGCUCAUCUUCGUUCUGUUCUUGAUCCAAGUUAACCUUUCGCACAACCUCAUCUUGUCUCCCAAUGGAUAAAGCAUCUGGCUCACAUGAUUGCAGUUGAAGUGCUACAUCAUCUGGUUGCCUGUUAAGAUCACUAAUUUGCUCACCAUCUUCUGUGGUAUCACUUUCAAAUAAAGCAUGUGAUGCUUCUUCAUCAGUGCCUCUUUUUGUGAGAAGUUCGACACUGAUGUCUCUAUCUUGAACAUGAAUUAUGUUCUCUUCAUUCUGCGCACCUGACAUUUCGCUUGAAUUAUGUUCACAUUCAUCCUUUUGCUCUUCUUUGACUUGAUCAAUACUGUUUGAAGUCUCUAGUAUAUCAUCACCAGCACUUUGAACAGCAUCUUCAUCGGUCACAUUCUCACUUCCCUGAGUUGUUAAAACAGUUUCACCCAAGUCACAUGCACCAUCCUGAAUAAAAUAUACACUUGUCAGUUGUCUUGCAAGGUAUGCCCAAAUUCGAACUAGUAGUGUAAUAUUCAGGCUGCAAUACUUAGUUCUGUUCAUAUAUUUUUAAGUUUGGUUUUUGGCACAGUUUUUCCUCAGUGUGACUACUGAUAGGUAUACUUUUGCUAUUCAAUCACUUUACAAUUUACUUUUUAGCUCACAGAUUUUGGCAUAGAGCAUGCUGAUUCUCAAACUUUUUGUUUUGCUUUAACUAAACAGUUUGACUGCAACUGGUUAACAGUUGAUCUAUUUUUGACAGGUGCCUUCAUGUAAGAUAAAAACCUGUAAUCAAUGUAUGAUCUGAUAGUAUUUAUGUACUUUUUAAAAAAAAACUGUACAGCAGGGGAAGCUCCUGCUGAAGUAUUUACGUACUUACGAAAUUGUGGGCUACAUUUUUUAUGUGCCUCUUAUUGUUUAUGCUGUGGUGAUGUUAGGUUUAUCAUGGUAUUUCAAAUCAGUGCAUAUAUUUAUAUAAGGAAACCUUGUGUGAUGCUUCAUGAGAAACCAAAUCUCAUGUUUCCAAGUAAAUCGAACUCCGAAACAAGUUAAGCACUUCCUACACCUAAGGGGGUUAAUGUAUAAAAUACAGAUACCUUUAGUUCCAAUGACGUCUGUAUUUCAUCUUUGAGUCCAGGCACCAACAUUACAUUAUCAGUUUCAUUCCCAAUAGUUUCUUCAUUCAACUUUGCAGGAUGUCCUUCUGGUGUUGUUUCAUUAUCUGUUGGAGAUGGGUCCUCCAAAGUAGCAUUCUCUGCUGGCUCUUCAUCAUGGAUGGCUUCAAUGCCGUCAAUUUCUUUUGUUACUUCCAAUUCAUUCUCUUGCUCAAUAUUUGAAGUUGGCUCUAUUGAUGCUAUAUUACCUUCUAAAGCUGGUUUUUCUAAUGCAUCAACUUGGCUUGUAAUAAAUUCUUCUUCAGCUUCAUUGGCAUCAAUGCCCUUGAUUUCUUCCACCAGUUCUUGUUCAAUAUCAACGGGUGGUUCAAUUUCACUCACAACACUAUCUUCUGUAGGUGUUUCUUCAAUGGUGACAGCGUUGACUUGCCCAGAGGUUUCUUCUGCCUUUACAAGAUGACUGAUCUCACCGUCUCUGGAUGAUUCCACCUGCUGUGCUGGUUGGACAUAAGAAUCUGGGUCACUUCUCUGCUCACUCCUUUCUUUAGUUGCAUCAACAUGACUGCCAAUAUUAUUUUGCCGGAUAACUUCUUCAGUUUCCGUUGCUUCUUUUUCUUUGACUCCUGCGUGCAGCUGCUGAUCAUCAACAUUGGGCUCACCGUCUACUGGCUCAAGGGUAGAAACUUUUUGGUGAUCUUCAAUUCCCACAGAUCUAAUAUCUCUGGUUUCUUCCAUUGAACCCAGUUCUUGCACUUGUUGGACAUCUGUAGGUGAUUCAGUCCUUGAUAAAUUACUUUCUUGAUCUGCCAUUUCAGGAGUAGGAAAGCUACUGAGAUCUGAGAAUUCAUCUGUUUUCGCAUCUUCACUGUUCUUGAUUUCUUGAGAUGUCAUAUUCUGCACUUGCUUUGUGUCAAAAUCUGGCUUUGUUACUGUUGUAUUUUCUUCUAUUGGAGUAGGCUCAUCAGAAGUAGAACCAUUGGGCUCUCCUGGAUAUUCCAUUGUGUCAGUGCACUUCGUGUCUUCAACUGAUUCUAGCUCCAGAACAGGCUCAGCAUCAUCUUCAGUGAGUUCUUUUGCACUUUCAACAUGACUCUCAUGAGGGACAGCUUCAGUCCCUAUGGUUUCCAUAUUUUCUGAUGGCAAGUCCCUUGAUGUCAUAAUAUCCUCUGUUUCAGCCGGUUCAGCAUCCUUGGUCUCUUCUAUCUCUGGCUCCUGCACUGGUGACGUAUCAGCAGUUGCAUCUGUUUCUACAUGUUCUUCUGGAGCUGCUGCCUCAGCAAGAGCAGUGCUGUUUUUUGCAUUUUCAGCGCCCUCAGUGACUUCUGCUGGCUCUGAAUUCUCUUCUUGAGUGUCAGAUCUUGGUUCUAUUGCUGUUCCAUUGUCUUCUGAAGUGGACUGCUCAGAAGUAGAAAGAGUGCAAGAUGAAGCAAUUCCUUCAGGUUUAUCAGCUUCAGUUUCCUUGAUAUCGGUUGAUUCUUGAACCUGGAGUUGUUGAUGAUCAACAUCUGGUUCAGUGGUGGUAUCUUCUGUUGCAAUUUCUUCUGGGACAAACUCCCCAGAGGUAGAGAUUUGGUUACCCUGGGAAACAUUUGGAGGCUCGGUGGCUUCAGUUUCACUCAUUUCUUCGACCGAUUCUGGUUCCAGUACUUGUGGCUCACUUGCUAUUUCUUCUGGUGCUGGCUCCUCUGAUUGAGCAGCGUCGCUUUGGUGCUGGGUUUCCGCUUCUGUGGCUUCAAUGUUGCUCAGUCCUCUUUCUGAUUCAUGCAGAUCGAUUAUGUCUGGAUUAUAUUCUUCAGCUGGCGUCUGAGAGAUAGUACUAUUCAUUUCAUGGGAUGUUUCCUUCAAUUCCACAUGUUCGGUAUUCUUUACGUCUUCUGGUUCCAGCUCCUGCACAGGUUGAAUAUCAGCAGUUGGCUCACUUUCAGGGACAUCGUUUUCUUGAGCCGGCUCCCCAGCAGAAACCAUGCUGCUUUGGCCAGAGAUUCCUUCAGUUAUGAUGUCUUUGUCACCACUUACUUCCUGAGUGUCACAAUCUGUUUCACUUUCUAUCUUUUGUUCUUCUGGAGAAGGCUCCUCUGAAACACAGUCAUUGCUUUCCUGGGGAGCUGCUUCAGUUUCAGUGGUUUCUAUUGCUGACCCUGUCUGCUGCAUCUCACUUUCCAGUGUAUCUUCUUGAGUUAAAUCAUUGAAUAAAACAGCAUUCCUCUGAUCAGAAGCUUCCUUCGAAUCAAUAGGUUCUGUGUCCUUUGUUUCUUCUGGUUCUACCUCCCGCAUAUGCAUUUCAGCAAUAUCCUCAGUCUGUGCCUCAUCAACAAUCACCACCUCAGAGACUUCAGCAAUAUUCUUAGGCGUGUUUCCCUUAGUUUCUUGUGUUGAUUCUGCAUUAUCUACCUCUUGACUAUCACAUGUUGGCUCUUCUACUGUUACAUUAUCUUCCACAGUUGCCUCCUCUGAAGUAAAAACAGUUUCCUUAACUUCAACCGAAUCUUGUCCAAGGGUAGGCUGGAUAUCAUCAUUAUAUGGCUCAUCUGCUGUCGAAACAUCUUCUGCUGAAAGUUCAUUAGAAGCAUUGACAUGGUCGUGUUCCGUAAUUUCUUGAGCUUCAGUGGCUUCACUGUCCUUAGGUUCUUCUAUUUCAGUUACUUUUAGUUCACUUGUUGCCGUAGCACCUUCUGGUUUUGCUGAUUCAUCUAUUUCUGUGUUUCCAUCUGUAGCAUCUGGAACGGCGUCAGAGUUGUCCAGAUUGAUCGCCGCAGGAGUUUGGACUCCAGAACGUGCUUCAGCUACAACCUCAACAUCAGGAAUGCCUGAGGGUUGUGUGUUCUCAGUCGCUUUUUCUGGUUCAUGGUCUUGCUGAUCAUCUUCUGUUUGUUCAAUAGCUUCCAGUGUGUCUUCCUGCACUGUGUCACCAUCCAUCAUAAUGCCUAAAUUACAUUGAUCUUUUGGAAUUGCCUCCUCAAAAGCAACACUGCUUUGUUGCAUUUCUGCUUCAGUAUCUUCUAUUUCUUCUACUGAUUCCUGGUUCUGCACUUGAAUAUUUACAGGUGGCUCCCCUGCUGUUGUGUCAUUUUCAGGAGCCGCCAUGUUGCUUUGGUGUGCUGUUUCUUCAGUCUUUUCAUUAAGCGAGCCAUCAGUUUCUUCAUUAGAUUCUUCAUUCAGCACUUCAUGUGCAUCAGUUGAAGGCUCAUCUGCGUGUUCAGAUUUAGGCACCUCUUCCUUCACCACAUCUGCAUCCAUUGCAUCAGCUUGCUGGCUCUGUUGAUCUUCUACUUUGACCACCUCUUCUGUAGAUUCUGCAAUAGGUGCAUCUUCUGGAAAGCCCUCUUUGUGGUCAGGAUGAACGACAUCUGCUUUAGCUGGUUCAUCAGUUUCUUUGAUUCCAUCUAUAGAAUCUGGAACAGCAUCAGAGUUGUCCAGAUUGGGCUCCACUGGAGUUUGGACUCCAGAAGGUGCUUCAGCUGCAACCCCAACAUCAGGAGUGUUUGCCAUGCUUGCAGGUUGUGUAUCAUCGGUUGCCUUUUCUGGUUCUAGAUCCUGGUCUUGCUGACCAUCAUCUGUUUGCUCAACAGCUUUCACUAUGUCCUCUGGCACUGUGUCAUUGUCCAUUGCAACACCUAAAUUUGGUUGAUCUUCUAGAAUUGCAUCCUCAAAAGCAACACUGCUUUGUUGAUUCUCUGUUUCAGUAUCAACUGGUUCAGCAUCUUCUAUUUGUUCUGAUGGUUCAUGGUUCUGCACUUGAACAUUUGCUGGUGGCACCCUCGUUGUAGUUUCAAGCUCUGGCUUUGUCUCCUUUGGAGCUUCCAUGUUGCUCUGGUGUACAGUUUCUUCAUUUUUUUCAUUCAUUGGGUCACAAAUUUCUUCAGCGGAUUCUUUAUUCAGCAUUUCUUGAGCAUUGGUUGUUGGCUCAUGAGCACCUGAUUUAGGCACCUCUUCCUGCACAUGGGUUUCCUCACAUUUAAGCAUCUCUUCCUGGACUACAUCUGCAUCCAUCGUAUCAGAUUGCUGAAUCUGUUGGUCUACAUUGACCACCUCUUCUGUGGGUCCUGCAAUAGAUGUAUCUUCUGAAAAGCUCUCUUUGUCGUCAGGAUGAAUAACACCAUCUGCCUUAGCUGGUUCCUCUGUUUCCAUCUUUUCAUCAAUAGUUCCUGGAACAGAACCAGAACCAUCCAGAUGUGGCUCCACAAGAGUUUGGAAACCAGUAGGUGCCUCAGCUUCCUCAACAUCAGCAUUGUUUGCAAUGCUUGAUGGUUGUGUGUCCUCAUUUGUCUUUUCUGAUUCCUGAUUCUGAUCAUGUUGAUCAUCAUCUGUUUGCUCAAUAGAACUGUCAGUUUUCAAUGUGUCUUCCUGCAACAAGUCAUCAUCCACUGUAACACCUUCUGAAUCUUGCUGCUCAUCCCUAGGUUCUUCAUCUUUCUCAUGCUUCCGAAGGCUGCUAUCUUCUGUUAUGCUUUCUACAUGGCUUAAACCAUCAGUCAUCUCUUCUUUAUUGAUUCCAUUGCUCUGAUGGGCACUUGUCCCAUCUAGUUCUGCUUCUUCCUGAUUGUUUUCAUGCGUCUGCACAUUUGAAAUCUUCUCUUCUUUGUCCACAUGACCAUUCAGAGAAGAUGCUUUGCCAUUUAGGUUAUGUUCUGGAGGAAGUUCGACUUCAGAGGGUGCUUCUACUAAAACUUGAUCCUCUGGAAUCUUCAACGUUCCUUCAGUUAAAUUGAUGAUUUCUCCCACGUUCUUGCUCUCCAUGAUAGUCGGAAGCUUGACUUCCGGGUGUGCUUGAAAAUGGGCUGAUCCUAAAUCCACAGCUUCCACUUGGACUUCCUGAGCAAGGUAUUGACAAAUCCAGCAUUUAAGCAGUGCAUUUCGUGCAGCAUCAGAUAGUCAUUAUAUUAAUAGAUAUUUUUGGCUAACAUAAAUAAUGAAUGUUAGUGUAUUUUAGGUUUUAUAUUUUCCAUAAUAGUCAUGAAGCAGAAGUAGGAAGAGAAAAGGAAAUGUUAACAUACAUAAGUUGUAUUCACCAUCCAUUAACUUUUUCAGUUGCAGCCAUAAUUUACUCAAAAGGAAAUCCAGCCAUGAGUGUACUACAGCACUGCAAAAGUGCAAGCACACUGUCCUGCAUGACAGUUGCCAUUUCUCGUUGGCCAACUGUUUUACUAGUAAAUGGCACAUGUAGGUUAGUGCACGCAUGAUUUUCCAUUUCAUGGUUCUAGUACUGCAACAAGUGGUCAACAACCAAACCUGACUGCUUGUCAAAUGGUACUCUGCCACGGCAAUAUUGCACAUGGGCAUCCCAACUGAUUGAGUUGUUCCUCAGCCUUGCAUGGAGGAGUCAGAAAUACUGAAUGUUUCUAUCAAGUGUUUUAGUGCUGCGAUUAUCUGUUUUGGCAUGCUUUAAGUAGACUUUUUCUCACUUCAUGCCUCUCUAUCUUUUAUCAACACACUGGUUGGUUGACGGUUGACGCUCAGUGUAAAUUAGUGUUUUUGCUUAUGCAUGUUAACCUAACCUCGUCGUUCUAUCAUUCAUGUCACAACAGUUGAUCAAACUGUUAAACUGCCUAUCCUCAUUGUUAAUAUUGUCCCAUCUGGAUAUGUUGAACUGUAGGAGCCGAAAAUGUGAAUAUUUCUUCAAGAAAGAAAAAUUUAUAUAAUCUAUUGAUUAACAUUAUUUUCUCAAUAUUGGGCGAAUUCACAUGCCAUCUAUCAAUUCAGGAGAGCAGUACCAGGUUGAUACUGAGGUAAUUCCAUUAUAUUUACUACUAUAUAAGUAAUGAAAAGAGAAGAAAAGAGCAUAUCACAGUGAUACUUACCACAGGUAAUAGCCUAUGAAACUGUAACUUAUAUUUACUUCUCCACCGAGUUAUUUUUCUGAUCCAUUGAUCCUUCAACCAUAUAAUACAAUACUAACCUAUUUCACAUGUACCUUUUUCUUAAUCAAAUCAAGAACAUGAACAAAAUUUGAAGGUAGACAUCUAACCAAGUUUGUUAUAAACAAGGAGAACAUGAUGAUUCUUCUUAUUGGCAUUCACUUCUUCCAUUCUUUAAGGAAACUUCUUUGCUUUUGAAGAUCUUUGUUUAACAACUGAAAGGAAUGAGUGCAGUGCCAUUUCUACAGAGUUUACUACAUGAAGAAGAAUCCUUCGUGACACUGAAAUGAGAUUAACAUGUAGCAACUGUGGAACGAGAAAUAAGGAAAACAGAAGCAAGGAAAGUGAUGCAGAGGUUAAGAGGAGCAAUUUCUUACCGUCCCAUCUGCUGUUUCUCGUGCUUCGUCUUCGGUCGCCAUUGCUCCAGAUCAGAAUGAGGAGAAGAAGAAGAAGAAGAAUAAGAAGAAGAAGAAGAAAGGAAAAAAGGAAAAAAGAAAGAUGGAGUGGCUUCUCCCUGAAAAAGGCUUGUGGGCGCUCGAAAAGCUGGUGGUCUUUAUACCAACCUUUCCUUUGCCCCCCUGUCAAUAUGUUUUCUAUUGCUGAGCAGCGGUUAGGAAGCAGUGACAGACUGACACUGCUCUUGACAGGGAGUUAGCACUUGCUUAAGUGUAAUCUUGAUUAAGCGACAGUAGUUAUUCCUGAAACCGCUGUUCAAUGAACAUGGAUAGUCAGCAUUAGGUUCCAAAAUGCCAACUGGUACGUGCGGCACAUGGUUGUGGUGGCUGGACCAGUGUGUAUGUGUUCUUGCAUUGAUGGACCCACAGAACCUUUUCUGUGUGACAUUAUUGGAUCGAUAAUUGAUCAGGGAGUAUCAUCCUUGGAUCCUUGAUAUCGUUGUCUUUUUUCUUUC